ACGAGCCACAUGCAGGGAAACUUGCACGUGUGGUUCUGGCCGGGGACCCCGGUAUACUGUACUAAUAUGUGUAGGUUCCCGUAAUNAAUUUUCUACCAGUUAU
rfam:Nicotiana sylvestris Nsyl_contig65917, whole genome shotgun sequence.